ACGGAACUGGCUUUCUCAGAUGGUUAAAGCUCUAAAACGUUAACUAAAGAAUAAUCCAGGGAAGAGAAAGUUACUCUUUGUUUCUUUUCUUUCUUUUUAUUUAUUUAUUUAUUUAUUUUUUGAGAUGGAGUCUUACUGUGUCGCCCAGGCUGGAGUGCAGUGUGCAAUCUCGGCUCACUGCAACCUCCGCCUCCCAGUUUCAAGCGAUUCUCCUGCCUCAGCCUCC
rnacentral:lncRNA from 1 species